rnacentral:rRNA from 1 species
CGGUUAAGUUAGAAAGGGCGCACGGUGGAUGCCUUGGCACUAGGAGCCGAUGAAGGACGGGACGAACACCGAU